rnacentral:tRNA from 4 species
GCCGAAGUGGCGGAAUUGGCAGACGCGCUAGCUUCAGGAGCUAGUGUCCGCAAGGAUGUCGGGGUUCGAAUCCCCGCUUCGGCA